rnacentral:lncRNA from 1 species
AAAUUAUUUGAUAUAUAAAAAAAUGCUAUCGACCCAUUCGAAUAGGGUUUCAUCUAGCAUGCUGUCGCCAUGUCCCCAUUAUUUUAAUGGCCGACAAUGCGCAAACGGUGGCCAGAUCUUACCAACGGAGGCCGCAACUGUGCAGAUCUAGUAAGUUUGUUUUUUUUCCUUUUCUUAUUUUUUUAAAAAAACUCACAUAGCAUAUUAUUCUUUCUAAAAAACAAAGCAGAAAUUCAAAAGAAAAGAAACAUUCGACCCUCACCCCGAGUUUCAUAUUUCUGAGAUAUAUGGGCGUUCAUCGGUGCCGAUUCAAACUAUAACAGCCCGAUUUUAACUCUAAUUGGACAUAGUGGUUUCGGGACCACAAAUCCGAGUCUGAAAAAUAUUUUAAUAUUAUUUUGUGUGUUUAUGAUGUGUGAAUUUAAAUGUGUGAAAGUUUCGUGAAUUAAUUUUGUUGUUUAUGUGUUUAAUUGACAAAAGUAUCAAAUUGCAUAAAAUGUGAAGUUUGAUUAUUAAGGUGUAAAGUGCUUAUUUGAUGGUGGCUUUUAAAUAUGAGGUUCUUAAAGGGCAAUUAGCCCAUUUUAAAAGAUAGUGGACGGCAAUGAUAGUUAAUAUAUACUUUUUAUAUAUUAAAUAUAAAAGUUAUAAUAGUAAUAGUAUAAUAUUAUAUUAUUAUAUCAUUAAAACAUAAAAGAAAUAAGUUUUUUUUCUUUCUUCAUUGUUUGUAUCACCGAAACAAAAAGAAAGAAACUUUGUUCUUCAAGCUUUAGCAUUCGGCCAUCUUAGGGAUUUCAAUUCAAGAUCAAGGAACGAAGAAAACGAAUUUGGAUCGGGGGAAGUCGAAGAUAAUCGAAUAGUCGAUCGUGUUUGCUGAUAUCCGAGGUAAGUCUAUUAGCUAUUUAAUGUCAUAAAAUCAGUAUAUAAAUAAGUAUAUGAGCUGUUUUUGGAUGAAUUAUAAUUAAAAAUAUGAUAGUUGAAAUAAUUAAAAGUAUGAGUGAAUUAUAUAUAUAUUAUGCAAAUCUACAUCUAUAUGUUCUCGUAUUGAACUUAGGUAUGCCAUUUAUACAAGUUUAUAAGGGGUUCGACUAUGCAACUAUGCAUGUAUAUGUUCUUGUGAUAAAUUUAAGUAUGAAACUUAUAUAUGAAAAAGGGAGAUUCGAUUAGGUAUGUAUGUUCUUGUAAAGGUUCUUGAACGGGGUUGAAGAGAUGAAAUUAUUAGCUUGGAUUAUCUUAAUGUGUUCGAAAGUACGAUAUUAAUAGUAUGCUUCAAUGUGUUAAGUUAUAUAUAUAUAUAUAUAUAUUCGGAUGUAUAAUUUAGAUAUUGAGUUGAAUUUGAUGACUGAACUUUUUAUACCGAUGUGGGUUAAGGAUAUAGUUUAUAAAUUAUUGAGCUGAAUUUUUAUGUGAAUUCUAUAUACCAUUAUGAUAUACAACUCCAAUGAAUUGAGAUUCUUUUGUUAAAGCUCAGUAUCAUUCGGUUUAUCGUUAGUGACAUAAUUCAGACUAUAAGUCUAGCAGGCUUAAUGCCGGUGACACAUUUCAGACUAUAAGUCUAGCAGGCUUAAUGCCGGUGACACAUUUCAGACUAUAAGUCUAGCAGGCUUAAUGCCGGUGACACAUUUCGGACUAUAAGUCUAGUAGGCUAAGAGCCGGUGUAUUGAAUCAGGUUUUAAAACCUAGCAGGCUAAAUGCCGGUGAAUCCGUUUAAAGCAUGUGAUAAUAUACAAUUGAUACCUCUAUGAUUUUGAUUAUAUGAAAUCGAUGUAUACAUAAAUGUUCAAUCACAUGAUUUUAGUCAUAUUAACUUGAUGAGCAUAUAUAUAUACAUAUAUUUGAUCUAAGCAAUUGAUAGAUAUGUAUAUAUGUAUAUGUUGCAUUCGGCAUAGGUGGAUAUAUUUAUGUGUAUGCAUUCGGCAUAGGUGAAAAUAAGUGUAUGUAUCUAUGCAUUCGGCAUAGAUGGGUAUAGGUGCAUAUGUGCAUUCGGCAUUUAUGGAUGAUAAGCAUAAAAAUUUGGCUUUUGAUAUAUGUAGUUGAAUAGUUGUAUUUAAAUGGAUUCGAUGAAGUGCGAACAAUAAGUACUCUAGAAAUCAGUAUAUGCUGUUAAGGAUUAUGCUAGUAACUUGAUUAUAUGCAUAUAAUGUAUAUACAUUUGUCCGUUUAUGUGUAUUAGAUAAAUAUACAUCCUUUUAGACUUAAACAAAAUGACUCAAUAAAGUAGUGUUUGAUUAGUAAUCAUAUUUGAUGAUUGUAAUUUCAAUAAAUUCACUUAAAGAAUUAUAUGAUUCUUUUAUAUGUAUUAUAGAUAUGUUGUAGACUUACUAAGCUAUAAAAGCUUACUUUGUUUGCUUUCGUUCAUUCGUUUUUAUAGAUUUUUUUUCUUUGGAGACGCGUUACGAGCUCGGGGAUCAUCAGCACCGCCCAUCACACUAUCAACUUCUUUUGGUAUUUUGUUAAAUAUUUGAACUCGAUCUUAUGGCAUGUAUAGGCUUGAUAAUGUUUUGGAUAAUUUUGAAUCCUAUUGUGUAAAUAGCAAUGCGAAAAGAGUUUAACUUCCAUGCUUGAAUUUGAUUAUAUAUGUUCAUGAAUUGGACUUGCAUUUGGAAUUAGAUAUUAAGUUAUGUUUAUGUGAGCUUGGUUUCGUAAUGCCUCGUAACCCUGAUUCGGCGACGGAGAUGGGUUAGGGGUGUUACAUUUUAUUGGUAUCAGAGCUACGGUUUAGUCGAUUCUCGGAACUAGCGUAGCGUGUAUGAGUCUAGCUAUACAUGCCAUAUUUUUAUAUCGAGAUAGUGUGAUGACUGCUGACGUCUAAAAAUGUGUUUUCGUAUAGUAAUGGAUCCCGAACGAGCCGUAGCUGAUGAUGUUGAGAGUAUAGCGCCUGCUCCCGCGCAAGGGACAGAGCCAGUAGAUUCUCGACCAAUCUCGAGUAACCAGGAGGGAGAGGCUAAACAAGCCUUCUACCAAAUGAUGAAUGACUGGUUUACUCAUUAUGUCCGAACUAAUCCGGUUACACAACAACCUCCACCCCCGACUAAUCCAUCUUCGAUUCCUGUUAUACCCCAAGUAAGUGAUCCGAUGAGAUUACUUAAGCCUCCGGUUGACAAAAUUCGAAAACACGGGGCCGAAGAGUUCAGAGCUACUGAUGAUGAUGAUGCUGAGCGAGCUGAAUUCUGGCUUGAUAAUAUUAUUCGAGUGUUUGAUGAGUUAUCUUGCACCCCUGAUGAGUGCUUGAAAUGUGCCAUAUCCUUGCUACGGGACACUGCAUAUCACUGGUGGAAUACACUAGUAUCGGUGGUUCCGAAAGAGCGAGUGACCUGGGAAUUCUUUCAGACUGAGUUUCGUAAGAAAUACAUCAGCCAGAGAUUUAUUGAUCAGAAACGUAAGGAAUUUCUUGAACUGAAACAGGGUCGUAUGACAGUGACAGAAUAUGAACGGAAAUUUGUGAGACUUAGUAGAUAUGCUCGAGAGUGUGUUUCAACUGAAGCUAUCAUGUGUAGAAGAUUUGAAGAUGGACUGAAUGAAGAUAUUAAACUGUUAGUUGGUAUACUUGAGAUAAAAGAGUUCGUAGUACUUGUUGAACGAGCUUGUAAAGCUGAGGAGCUCGGGAAAGAGAAGAGGAAAGCUGACUAUGAAACUCGAGAUUCUCGUAAAAGAUCAUUCAGUAAAUCAUUUCAGUCGACCUCAAGGAAAUUCAGAGCGGAUCAUAGCCAAUCUAAAGCUACUGCAGGGUUUCCUAAGUAUGAUCGAGAUCGACCCCCUGUGAGUUCACGAGCUACUUCAGUUGCUAGCGUUGGUAGUGUUCGACAAAAUAGAUCAGAGUGCAAGCAUUGUGGGAAAUGGCAUCCUGGGGAUUGCAGAUUCCAUGAUCGGUCUUGCUUCAAGUGUGGUUCAAAAGAUCAUUUCAUUCGAGAGUGUCCGAUGGUAGCUGAGCAAAACACUGUGCAGGAUACCAGACCGAGUAAUGUGCCAGUCCGAGGUAGACCGUCGAGACAAUUGAGUAAUGUAAGUGGUAGUCAGAGAGGAACCAGGGACACAGCAAUUCGAUCUGAGGCCCGUGCACCUGCCAGAGCUUAUGCCAUCCGUGCUCGAGAGGAGGCUUCUUCUCCAGAUGUUAUUACUGGUACUUUCACUCUUUAUGAUACUAAUGUUAUUGCAUUGAUUGAUCCUGGUUCGACUCAUUCUUAUGUGUGUGAGACUUUAGUAUUCAGUAAGACUUUGCCUGUUGAGUCUACUGAGUUUGUAAUUAAAGUAUCGAACCCCCUGGGCCGGUGUGUUUUGGUUGACAAAGUGUGCAAGAAUUGUCCGUUGAUGAUUCGAGAUUUAUGUUUUCCAGCUGAUUUGAUGUUGUUACCAUUCGACGAGUUCGAUAUAAUUCUGGGUAUGGAUUGGUUAACUCUGCAUGAUGCUAUUGUAAACUGCAAACGAAAAACUAUUGAUCUACGGUGUCAGAAUGAUGAGAUUAUUCGGAUCGAAUCUAAUGAUCUGAAUGGUUUAUCAGCAAUAAUAUCCUCUAUGUCGGCUCAGAAGUAUGUGAGAAGGGGUUGUGAAGCUUACCUUGCAUUUGUUCUUGAUAGUAAAGUGACCGAAAAGAAGAUUGAAUCUGUACCAGUAGUGUGUGAGUAUUCAGACGUGUUUCCCGAAGAAUUACCGGGUUUGUCACCUAUUCGAGAGGUAGAGUUUGGUAUUGAGUUAGUACCAGGGACGACUCCCAUAUCGAUAGCUCCGUACCGUAUGGCACCGACCGAAUUAAAAGAAUUGAAAGUACAGUUGCAAGAGCUGACUGAUAAAGGUUUUGCACGACCGAGUUUCUCUCCUUGGGGUGCACCAGUUCUAUUUGUGAGAAAAAAAGAUGGAACGAUGAGAAUGUGCAUUGAUUACCGGCAACUCAAUAAAGUGACUAUAAAGAAUAAGUAUCCGUUACCACGGAUUGAUGAUUUAUUCGAUCAGUUGAAAGGGGCUACUGUGUUUUCAAAGAUAGAUCUGAGAUCAGGCUACUAUCAGUUGCGAGUUAAAGACUCUGAUGUGCCAAAGACUGCUUUCCGAACGAGGUACGGACAUUAUGAGUUUCUUGUUAUGCCUUUCGGACUUACUAAUGCACCUGCUAUUUUCAUGGAUUUGAUGAAUCGGAUCUUUAGGAAGUAUCUGGAUCGGUUUGUGGUAGUAUUUAUUGAUGACAUUUUGAUCUACUCUCGAGACGAAAAUGAGCAUGCUGAACAUCUGAGACUUGUGUUACAAACUUUGCGAGAUAAGCAGUUGUAUGCAAAGUUUAGUAAAUGUGAGUUCUGGUUACGUGAAGUCAGUUUUCUGGGCCAUGUUGUAUCAGCAUCGGGUAUUUGGGUUGAUCCGAGUAAAAUUUCAGCUAUACUUGAUUGGAAACCUCCGAGGAAUGUUUCGGAAGUUCGAAGCUUUCUGGGGCUCGCUGGCUAUUAUAGACGUUUUGUGAAAGGGUUCUCUAUGAUUGCGACCCCAAUGACAAGGCUACUACAAAAAGACGUUAAGUUUGAGUGGUCAGAAAAGUGCCAGAAAAGUUUCGAUCAGUUGAAAGCUCUUUUAACCAAAGCUCCAGUCCUAGUUCAACCCGAAUCGGGUAAAGAGUUUGUUAUCUAUAGUGAUGCAUCUUUAAAUGGUUUGGGCUGUGUAUUGAUGCAGGAAGGCAAAGUUGUAGCCUAUGCCUCGAGACAGUUAAAGCCGCAUGAAAAGAACUAUCCGACGCAUGAUUUGGAAUUGGCCGCUAUUGUAUUUGCGUUAAAAAUAUGGCGUCACUAUCUGUUUGGCGAAAGAUGUCAUGUUUAUUCUGAUCAUAAAAGCUUGAAAUAUUUGAUGACUCAGAAAGAUCUGAAUUUGAGACAGCGUCGAUGGUUAGAAUUGUUGAAAGAUUACGAGCUCGUGAUUGACUAUCAUCCGGGAAAGGCUAAUGUUGUUGCUGAUGCCCUAAGUCAAAAAUCACUGUUUGCUUUGCGUGCAAUGAAUGCACAUAUGGUUAUGUCUGAUGAUGGUGCGAUAGUAGCUGAGUUGAAAGCAAAACCGUUAUUUGUUCAACAGAUUUGUGAAGCUCAAAAAGCCGAUGAUGAUUUAAUUGCAAAACGAACUCAGUGUGACUUAAAUGUUGAUUCAGAGUUUCUAGUUGAUACUGAGGAUUGUUUGAGAUUCAGAAACCGAUUAUGUGUUCCGAAAAAUCCAGAGUUAAUUCAGAUGAUUUUGAAUGAAGCCCAUAAUAGUCGAUUUUCUGUUCAUCCGGGUAGCACGAAAAUGUAUAAUGAUCUGAAAUAACACUAUUGGUGGCAUGGAAUGAAACGAGACAUUUCUGACUUUGUUUCGAAAUGUUUAAUAUGUCAGCAAGUAAAAGCCGAGCAUCAGGUACCUUCUGGAUUGCUGCAGCCGAUCAUGAUACCUGAAUGGAAAUGGGACAGAGUUACGAUGGAUUUUGUAUCCGGUUUACCGUUAACACCCAGCAAGAAAGAUGCAAUUUGGGUUGUUGUUGAUAGAUUGACAAAAUCGGCUCACUUUAUUCCGGUUCGUAUUGAUUAUUCGCUUGAUAAACUUGCUGAAUUGUACAUUUCUCAGAUUGUAAAAUUGCACGGAGUGCCUAUUUCUAUUAUUUCGGACAGAGACCCGAGAUUUACAUCGCGGUUUUGGAAGAAAUUACAAGAUGCUUUAGGUACGAAACUACAUUUUAGCACAGCUUUCCAUCCGCAAACAGAUGGUCAAUCGGAGCGAAUUAUACAGAUACUUGAGGACAUGUUGAGAUGUUGCAUUCUCGAGUUUGAAGGUACGUGGGAACGAUAUUUACCUUUGAUUGAAUUUGCUUAUAAUAACAGCUUUCAAUCUAGUAUUAAAAUGGCACCUUAUGAGGCUUUGUACGGUCGUAAAUGUCGUACACCACUGUAUUGGACCGAGCUCAGUGAAAAUAGGAUACACGGGGUUGAUUUGAUUAAAGAGACCGAACAGAAAGUGAAAGUGAUUCGGGACAGCCUGAAAUCAGCAUCAAAUCGUCAGAAAUCUUAUGCGGAUUUGAGAAGAAAAGAUAUAGAAUUUCAGAUCGGCGAUAAAGUGUUUUUGAAAGUCUCACCGUGGAAGAAAGUACUCAGAUUCGGUCGUAAAGGCAAAUUGAGUCCAAGAUUCAUUGGACCGUAUGAGAUUAUAGAACGUGUCGGACCGGUUGCUUAUAGAUUGAUGUUACCACCUGAGUUAGAAAAGAUUCACAAUGUAUUUCAUGUUUCGAUGCUCCGUAGAUACCGAUCUGAUCCUUCACAUGUGAUUUGUCCGACGGAGAUUGAAAUUAACCCUGAUAUGUCAUAUGAAGAAGAACCGAUUAGCAUUCUGGCUCGUGAGAUCAAGGAAUUACGAAAUAAGAAAAUUCCGUUAGUUAAAGUAUUGUGGCAUAAACACGGAGUUGAAGAAGCAACUUGGGAGUCAGAGGAUACAAUGAAGGAGCGUUAUCCAAACCUAUUCACCGGUAAGAUUUUCGGGGACGAAAAUCCCUAAAGGGGGGGAGAGUUGUAACAGCCCGAUUUUGACUCUAAUUGGACAUAGUGGUUUCGGGACCAAAAAUCCGAGUCUAAAAAAUAUUUUAAUAUUAUUUUGUGUGUUUAUGAUGUGUGAAUUUAAAUGUGUGAAAGUUUCGUGAAUUAAUUUUGUUGUUUAUGUGUUUAAUUGACAAAAGUAUCAAAUUGCAUAAAAUGUGAAGUUUGAUUAUUAAGGUGUAAAGUGCUUAUUUGAUGGUGGCUUUUAAAUAUGAGGUUCUUAAAGGGCAAUUAGCCCAUUUUAAAAGAUAGUGGACGGCAAUGAUAGUUAAUAUAUACUUUUUAUAUAUUAAAUAUAAAAGUUAUAAUAGUAAUAGUAUAAUAUUAUAUUAUUAUAUCAUUAAAACAUAAAAGAAAUAAGUUUUUUUUCUUUCUUCAUUGUUUGUAUCACCGAAACAAAAAGAAAGAAACUUUGUUCUUCAAGCUUUAGCAUUCGGCCAUCUUAGGGAUUUCAAUUCAAGAUCAAGGAACGAAGAAAACGAAUUUGGAUCGGGGGAAGUCGAAGAUAAUCGAAUAGUCGAUCGUGUUUGCUGAUAUCCGAGGUAAGUCUAUUAGCUAUUUAAUGUCAUAAAAUCAGUAUAUAAAUAAGUAUAUGAGCUGUUUUUGGAUGAAUUAUAAUUAAAAAUAUGAUAGUUGAAAUAAUUAAAAGUAUGAGUGAAUUAUAUAUAUUAUGCAAAUCUACAUCUAUAUGUUCUCGUAUUGAACUUAGGUAUGCCAUUUAUACAAGUUUAUAAGGGGUUCGACUAUGCAACUAUGCAUGUAUAUGUUCUUGUGAUAAAUUUAAGUAUGAAACUUAUAUAUGAAAAAGGGAGAUUCGAUUAGGUAUGUAUGUUCUUGUAAAGGUUCUUGAACGGGGUUGAAGAGAUGAAAUUAUUAGCUUGGAUUAUCUUAAUGUGUUUGAAAGUACGAUAUUAAUAGUAUGCUUCAAUGUGUUAAGUUAUAUAUAUAUAUAUUCGGAUGUAUAAUUUAGAUAUUGAGUUGAAUUUGAUGACUGAACUUUUUAUACCGAUGUGGGUUAAGGAUAUAGUUUAUAAAUUAUUGAGCUGAAUUUUUAUGUGAAUUCUAUAUACCAUUAUGAUAUACAACUCCUAUGAAUUGAGAUUCUUUUGUUAAAGCUCAGUAUCAUUCGGUUUAUCGUUAGUGACAUAAUUCAGACUAUAAGUCUAGCAGGCUUAAUGCCGGUGACACAUUUCAGACUAUAAGUCUAGCAGGCUUAAUGCCGGUGGCACAUUUCAGACUAUAAGUCUAGCAGGCUUAAUGCCGGUGACACAUUUCAGACUAUAAGUCUAGCAGGCUUAAUGCCGGUGACACAUUUCGGACUAUAAGUCUAGCAGGCUAAGAGCCGGUGUAUUGAAUCAGGUUUUAAAACCUAGCAGGCUAAAUGCCGGUGAAUCCGUUUAAAGCAUGUGAUAAUUUACAAUUGAUACCUCUAUGAUUUUGAUUAUAUGAAAUCGAUGUAUACAUAAAUGUUCAAUCACAUGAUUUUAGUCAUAUUAACUUGAUGAGCAUAUAUAUAUACAUAUAUUUGAUCUAAGCAAUUGAUAGAUAUGUAUAUAUGUAUAUGUUGCAUUCGGCAUAAGUGGAUAUAUUUAUGUGUAUGCAUUCGGCAUAGGUGAAAAUAAGUGUAUGUAUCUAUGCAUUCGGCAUAGAUGGGUAUAGGUGCAUAUGUGCAUUCGGCAUUUAUGGAUGAUAAGCAUAAAAAUUUGGCUUUUGAUAUAUGUAGUUGAAUAGUUGUAUUUAAAUGGAUUCGAUGAAGUGCGAACAAUAAGUACUCUAGAAAUCAGUAUAUGCUGUUAAGGAUUAUGCUAGUAACUUGAUUAUAUGCAUAUAAUGUAUAUACAUUUGUCCGUUUAUGUGUAUUAGAUAAAUAUACAUCCUUUUAGACUUAAACAAAAUGACUCAAUAAAGUAGUGUUUGAUUAGUAAUCAUAUUUGAUGAUUGUAAUUUCAAUAAAUUCACUUAAAGAAUUAUAUGAUUCUUUUAUAUGUAUUAUAGAUAUGCUGUAGACUUACUAAGCUAUAAAAGCUUACUUUGUUUGCUUUCGUUCAUUCGUUUUUAUAGAUUUUUUUUCUUUGGAGACGCGUUACGAGCUCGGGGAUCAUCAGCACCGCCCAUCACACUAUCGACUUCUUUUGGUAUUUUGUUAAAUAUUUGAACUCGAUCUUAUGGCAUGUAUAGGCUUGAUAAUGUUUUGGAUAAUUUUGAAUCCUAUUGUGUAAAUAGCAAUGCGAAAAGAGUUUAACUUCCAUGCUUGAAUUUGAUUAUAUAUGUUCAUGAAUUGGACUUGCAUUUGGAAUUAGAUAUUAAGUUAUGUUUAUGUGAGCUUGGUUUCGUAAUGCCCCGUAACCCUGAUUCGGCGACGGAGACGGGUUAGGGGUGUUACACAAACAUUUUCGUUUCUUCAUGAUAAUAUCGCGAGAAAAUUAAAAGAAACAAAAGAAAAAAAUAAAGAGAUUUUUGGAUCACCUUUGGAUAACUUUAUGAAUGAUUUUUUUGAUAUUUCGUAUGUAUUUCAGUGUACGUGUAUUGCGUAAAAAACUACAAUGAUGGAAUCUCUUGGCUUUAUAGCCGAAAGGAAAGAAAGAAAAUAAAAAAUACAAUUUUUCCUAUUUCCCCAUUUGCUGUUGUGUUUGUCUUCUUUGGUUUGCAGGUACGGAGGUACGGGGCCAGCUGUGGAGGUAUGUGGCACUCGACGUGGGGGCGUACGGAGGUGCACAUGGCAGUCGUACCGUGCUGCGAGCUAGGGGUUGCGGCGCUGGAUUGGGGGAAACCCUAGGGUUUCUGUUAAUGCUUUAACUUUUGGGCCAUCUGGGCCUAUUUCUAUUUGUGAAAUUGGGCCAAGUAAUCUGGGCUAUAAUUUGGACAGUAUCUAUUUUGUUUUAUUUUUUGGAUUUUAUAUUUAUUUUGGAUUUUGGUGGACCCGGGCAAAUUGGCCCGUCUACAAUAAUAACAUAAAAUAAAAUAAAUAAAAAAAUAUAGGAAUGAAAAAGAAAGAAUAAACUGAAUGAAGAAAACGAAACAGGGAGAAAGAAAGGGAAAAGAAAAAGAAAAAGAAAAAUUAGGGUUUAAAGGUUUCAAGCUUAAGUGGUAAGUCAAUUUAAUCACUUUUCUUAUAAUUUUUAUGUUUUUAGAAUUUUAGAACAAAAUACUACUUGAUUUAUGUUGAAAUUUUAGAAGUUGGUGAAUUUUCAGAUGUUGUUCAUGUUGAAUAAUUUGAAGUAUUAGGGUUUAAGUUGAUAGAAUUUUAAGUUAGAAGUGGAAAGGGAUUAAAUUGUGAAAUAAAUUAUAGGUUUUGAAGUAAUAGGGACGAAAUUGCAAGAAUUUUGAAAUUAGGGAUUUAUGGUGAAAUUAAAGAGUUAAAUUUAGUUUUAAGUGUUAAUUGAAUGAAAAUAAAGAAUAAAUUGUGAAGAAAAUAAAGUUAGUUUUGGUUAGGGAUUAAAUUAGAAUUUAGGCAAAAGUUGUGUAUAAAUUGAAAUAUUCAAUGUUAAAUUCUGUUGUAUUGAUGAUUUUAAAUUGUUUUAAUUUUCGUAGACUUCGGCAAAGAAAGGAAAGGAAAAAGUUGACGAAGAGUGACUCGGGAAAUUACGGUUUGUAUUUCUAUAAUCCGAAUCUAAUAAUUAAUUGUUGUAUUUUGAUUUAAUACUUAUGGUAAGUGAUUGAUGUGAGUAACUAGCAUUUUGAUAUUGAAUUGAAUUUAUAUGAAUUUGUGAUUAAUAUGAAAUGUGGAUAUUGGAUAUUGAUUGUUUUUUAAUUAUGGAAUUAAACCCUAUUAACUGUAUCAGACUGAGUCGGAUAUAGUUGGCAUGCCAUAGGAUUGGAAGUGUUCAGGGAUACUUCGACCACGAGCCGAUGAGACACUGGGUGUCAAACUAUUACUUCGGAUAAAUUCGACGAGAUACUGGGUAUCAACUUACUUCGGCAUGACCGAUGAGACACUGGGUGUCAACUUAUUACUUCGAAUUAUCUGAUGAGGCACUGGGUGCCAUACUGGUGUGUUUUGGUUGGAUCCGUGUAUCUGCCAAAGUCCGAGUCUUGUUAAUAGGGGUAAAUAAAUAAAUUGGAUUGAUAUUGAAUGACAAUGAAUGUGAAUUUGAAAUGGGAUAUUGAUUUCGAUUGUACAAUAGUGAUACAUGGACUAAGAGUUAACGAAAAGAGCAUUGUUAUUGCCAAUUGAUAUAUGAAUCAAAGUGAGAAAGCUAUUGAUGAGAAAUGAAAGCAAUAAUAGAUGAAUUGAUUUAUUGAUUAGUUAAUGUUUAUGUAUGGUUAAAGUGUAUAUUUUAGACAAAAUUAUUUAUUUAAAGUAUUCGGAUUAUAGAAAUACCACUGAAUUUAUAUUCAGCGUACGGUUUGUUUUCCAUGCACAGGUUAGGUUAAAGUUCAAACAUUGAAUCAGCGUCCAAGGCCGAUCCCGAACUCAUUGUGGUGAAGUACAUUUCUUUUUGGUAAAUGCAUGUACCUAGGAUGUUAUGUUUGUUAUUUUAGAAAAUGAUUAUAAAUGAUGUUGUAUUAUGAUAAUGGUUGCCUUUAUAUGCAUAAAUAUAAGUAAGUGGUUGUUAAGGUGACAAAAUGACUUAUUUUGGUUAAAGUAUGAAUGAAUUUGUUAUAUGCAAAUUUAGAUUGAUUUGGAUAAAACAUAUGAAGUAUUUAUGAAUGAACAUUAGUUAGCUUAAUUAAGUUGAUUAUUUGUCAUGAUUUGGAUGUAUUAAAUGGUAUUUUGGAUUGAUUGAAGAAUUGGUUGUUGAAUUGCUUGUGGUUUAAGUUUGCAGGGUUAGUAAAAUUUAAUAUAAUAAUAUCAAAAUAUCAAAAAUUACAAGAAAAUGGAUUAAAUUGACUUACUACUUAAGCUUGAAAACUUUAAACCUUAAUUUUUCUUUUUCGUUUUCUUCUAUUCUGUUUAUUCUUUCUUCUUCAUUCCUUUAUUUGUUUUAUUUUAUGUUAUUAUAUUAUUAUAUUACAUUAUAAUAAUUAUUCUUACUUAAAUAAUAAGCAAAUACAUAUAUGUAUUACAAAUGUAUGUAUGUAUUUAUUGCACAUAUUUUUUAUUUUUACCACACAAUUCUCAUAAUUUGGUUUAUUUAUUUAUUUAGUCCCUUGACUUUUCUCUAUUUUAUAAUUAAGCUUUCACACUUUAUUCAAUUUAAUCCUUAUACCUAAUUAACCUUAAUUCAAACUAAUUCACCUAACCAAAACCUAAUUAACCACACAAUAAACUUCGUAAAUGUUUUUAACAAAUAUUUACGAAUUCGUUUGUCGAAAAUAGAGAACCGAAAAUACACUUUUUUGAUUACUCAACUAUUGGGUUGUUACAAAUACAUACUGCGAUAAACGAAUAUCAAUAACAGGGGAAAAAUCAUGCGAACCCAUUAUAUGAGCCUAGAGGGUCGAUAUGAAAAUGUGACGAAUCAAUGAAUUCGACGAGAAAUUUGAAUAAUGAUAUGAUAUAGUGAUUAACAUUAAAUUGAAAUUGGAUGUAUUGUUGAUAAAUUGGUGGAAUGAUAUGAAUAUGUUAGUGAAUUGAUUAAAUGUUGUUUGAAUAAGUGAAUUAAAGGGUUAUAUGCUUGGAUUGCUAAAUGAUAUGAUAAAUGUUGAACUCACCUUGUUGAUAUGUGCUUGUCAUGUUAGGCAAAAAUAGAGAGUCUAGUAGUUUGCCGUAUUAAAUCAAAAAUUGAGGCAAGUUGUCGUUUAAUGCCUAUGAACUUACUAAGCAUAUUAUAUGCUUGUUUCGUUUACUUUCCCUUUUCCUUGUAGAUUGCUUUGUGGAACGUACCAAGCUGGAUCAAGUUUUGAAGCUCACACUAUCCCAUACUCAUUGGUAGAUGUACGAACGUUUUGAAUCUUGGUUGUGGCAUGUAUGCCUAGGAUGUUUGAAUGUGAGUCUAAUGUUUAUAAGUGUUUUAGUAUAUGUAGAAAAAGGUAUAAAUGCCAAUGUUGAGUUUUGGUAGCUUAUGAUGAUCUUUGUAAAUGAUGACUUGAAUAAGGUUAUAGCUUGAAGUUAGGUAAAUGCAUGAAUUGAAAUGUGUGGUAAUUGGUUGAAAUGAUAAUAGCAUGAAAGUGAUUAUGGUUUAGUAGUUUUGGGAUUGAAACAUGAUUUUUUUACCUUGUUAAUUAUCUUAUUGAAUAGGUAUGCUUGACAAAUAGUUUGAUAUGUACAUAUGUGUUAACCUAUGUGUGUAAAUUUUAUGAUAGUUUGAUUUGAAACUUGUUUAAUGCUUGAUUUUGGGAUUUGUCAAAGAUUAUAUAUAUAAGUGUAUAUGUUGGUAUUAAGUUCAGC